UACAGAGGGUGCAAGCGUUAAUCGGAAUUACUGGGCGUAAAGCGUGCGCAGAUGGUUGCGUAAGUCAGAUGUGAAAGCCCCGGGCUCAACCUGGGAAUUGCACUCGAAACUGCCUCGCUGGAGUGCCGGAGAGGAAAGCGGAAUUCUCGGUGUAGAGGUGAAAUUCGUAGAUAUCGAGAGGAACACCGGUGGCGAAGGCGGCUUUCUGGACGGUUACUGACGCUGAGACGCGAAAGCGUGGGGGAGCAAACAGG
rnacentral:rRNA from 1 species